GCCAGGCAUGGUGACACAUGUCUGUAAUCCCAGUGACUCAGGAGGCUGAGGCAGGAGGAUCUCAAGUUCAAAGCCAGCUUCGGCAACUUAGGGAGCACCCUGUCUCUA
rnacentral:sRNA from 1 species